UACGGAGGGUGCGAGCGUUAAUCGGAAUUACUGGGCGUAAAGCGCGCGUAGGCGGCGUGAUAAGCCGGUUGUGAAAGCCCCGGGCUCAACCUGGGAACGGCAUCCGGAACUGUCACGCUAGAGUGCAGGAGAGGAAGGUAGAAUUUCCAGUGUAGCGGUGAAAUGCGUAGAUAUUGGAAGGAAUACCAGUGGCGAAGGCAGCCUUCUGGACUGACACUGACACUGAGGUGCGAAAGCGUGGGUAGCAAACAGG
rnacentral:misc_RNA from 1 species